GUGGGAGUCUGGUUGAGCUCCUGGAGGUGAAUCUCACAGUAUUGUUGGGUUGGGGAGGUCCCCCUUUGAUUGAGUCCACCUGGGGAGUUUUUAACUCUUAGCGUUGUCCUCAUUGAGCCUCCAACAAUUCAUCAACUUUAGUUCUGGGUUUUCUUCCCGGCGCUGGUUCCUGCAGUGGUAUCGGCUCCUGAUUCUCUGCUCAGUAAGGAAGAAGCUCUAAGUCUUGAAGACUAAGAAUUAUGAGAAUUUGGAGCAACUUCCCUCAAGACAGGAACAUUUCAUGCAAGACAGAGAAGGACAUAGGAUUCAGAAUCUGACCAGAAGUGCAGACCCCUGCCUGUGUCCCAGUGGCUUUAAAACUUGCUUUGGCCAAAAUGACAGCAGCAAACGUGAGGCAAGAACCAAUUCAAAAAUUGCUUGUGCAUUAAGCUUGCUAUCUGGCUGCUUGUGGAACUCUGAUGCCAUGUGAACAAGCCCAGAUAAGCCAGCUGGAGAGUAACACAGAAGAGAGACCUCCUCUAUCCCAGCCUUCCCAGACACGACAUCAUAAACCAGCCAGCCCCAGCUAUUACCUUCUAGCUGACAGCAGAUACAUGAGUGAUGGGGCCUGGGUAGGAACAACUGCCCACCUGAGACCAGCCCAAAUUGCUGACCUGCAAAAUCAUGAGUGAAACAAAUGGUUGUUUUUUUCAAUCUUGAAUUUUGGGGUAGCUGCUUACACAGGAAUAGAUAACUCAUACAGGUGAAAAAUAGAUAUUCAGCUGCCUCAGCACAGAGGUAUUAACCCAUGACAGAGAAGGAGAAACAGCCUCGAGAGGGAAAAAGUCCAGCAUGAUUUUUACAUGUCGUGAUUGACAGUAGAAGGAGGCAGGAAGUUCAUAUAGAUCCUGCCUGAUAAAUUCUAUUAUCCUCAUGAAAUGGAAGAUUGGGUCUUCUGAGAAUCAGAUGGAGAGAUAGUGAGCUAGAUGAGAAUGAUAAAAGUUUGAAAUAUACUUUGUAGAAAAGGGAGCAAUGACAAGAGACUCUUGAAAAUGCUUAAUGUCCUACUGAAUUGGGAGAAUCUGAAACUGUUGGGGGAUUUGUUGUAGAUUAACAUGAGCCAUUCCCUAGGAGUUAUUGGACUUUUGAAGUCCCGGAGAAAUUUAAAGGAUGACACAUGUUGUAUAGCCACCACAAUCUAGAGAUUUUAUUUCAGCAAAUAUUAUACCUUCAAGCAAUUGAAUUCAAUCAAACACUGAGUCCAAAUUUGGCUCAGAGAAAAAAACUUUUAUAACAAUUUCAUAAACCAAAAGCUAAGCUCCUGUGAAUUCCUCCCUGAGAAUAGCUAUCAAAUCACCCACAGACAAAUGGGGGAAAUUUUGAAAGCAUAGUAUUAGUUGAGACUCUCCUUGAAAUGUUUCUGAAUUCUUAUGGCCCAAGAGCUUUAAUCUAUAAUAUUCCAAAUAGAGCGGAACUGGAUACUCAUAGCCAAACACAGUCAUUCCCAUAUAAUGAUCUAACAGACAUUUUAAACAAGCAUUAUUGACUUUCAAACAUACUUACGUGAUUCUGCAAUAAUAAGACUUCCCUAUCCUUAAUAUGAAUAUUAUAUCUCAACUUCCUGGGAAUAAAAGGAAAAGAAUUUUAUAAAUCUCUGGCUACUCUGCCUUAAGGAUCAGCUAACCACUCUUCUCCGACAACACAUGAUCAAAAUGUUUCUUAGGUUUUUAGACCUCCUCUAAAAACCUCCCUUUAAUUACAAUGCAGGAUAUGUAAAUUUCUUUAACACUAUAGCUCAUCAUCUAUUUCCUUCCUCCCCACUCUCUCUUCUUCCUUCUCUUCCUUUCUUCUGCCUUCCCUUCCUCCUUUCCUUCCUUCCUUCUCAAAAUUUUAUUUAAUUCUUCCGUGUGACAACAAGUGAUCUUUUGCCAGCAGUUCAAGUGUGAUUACGCAAUGCUGUUCCCAUAUCUUAAGUCCAUCUCGGUUAUUCUUUAUCACAUUGUUCUGCUUUAAUUCCUUCACAAAA
rnacentral:lncRNA from 1 species